GGGACACGUGGUAUCCUGUCUGAAUAUGGGGGGACCAUCCUCCAAGGCUAAAUACUCCUGACUGACCGAUAGUGAACCAGUACCGUGAGGGAAAGGCGAAAAGAACCCCGGCGAGGGGAGUGAAAAAGAACCUGAAACCGUGUACGUACAAGCAGUGGGAGCCUCUUAAUGGGGUGACUGCGUACCUUUUGUAUAAUGGGUCAGCGACUUAUAUUCUGUAGCAAGGUUAACCGAAUAGGGGAGCCGAAGGGAAACCGAGUCUUAACUGGGCGUUAAGUUGCAGGGUAUAGACCCGAAACCCGGUGAUCUAGCCAUGGGCAGGUUGAAGGUUGGGUAACACUAACUGGAGGACCGAACCGACUAAUGUUGAAAAAUUAGCGGAUGACUUGUGGCUGGGGGUGAAAGGCCAAUCAAACCGGGAGAUAGCUGGUUCUCCCCGAAAGCUAUUUAGGUAGCGCCUCGUGAAUUCAUCUCCGGGGGUAGAGCACUGUUUCGGCAAGGGGGUCAUCCCGACUUACCAACCCGAUGCAAACUGCGAAUACCGGAGAAUGUUAUCACGGGAGACACACGGCGGGUGCUAACGUCCGUCGUGAAGAGGGAAACAACCCAGACCGCCAGCUAAGGUCCCAAAGUCAUGGUUAAGUGGGAAACGAUGUGGGAAGGCCCAGACAGCCAGGAUGUUGGCUUAGAAGCAGCCAUCAUUUAAAGAAAGCGUAAUAGCUCACUGGUCGAGUCGGCCUGCGCGGAAGAUGUAACGGGGCUAAACCAUGCACCGAAGCUGCGGCAGCGACACUAUGUGUUGUUGGGUAGGGGAGCGUUCUGUAAGCCUGUGAAGGUGUGCUGUGAGGCAUGCUGGAGGUAUCAGAAGUGCGAAUGCUGACAUAAGUAACGAUAAAGCGGGUGAAAAGCCCGCUCGCCGGAAGACCAAGGGUUCCUGUCCAACGUUAAUCGGGGCAGGGUGAGUCGACCCCUAAGGCGAGGCCGAAAGGCGUAGUCGAUGGGAAACAGGUUAAUAUUCCUGUACUUGGUGUUACUGCGAAGGGGGGACGGAGAAGGCUAUGUUGGCCGGGCGACGGUUGUCCCGGUUUAAGCGUGUAGGCUGGUUUUCCAGGCAAAUCCGGAAAACCAAGGCUGAGGCGUGAUGACGAGGCACUACGGUGCUGAAGUGACAAAUGCCCUGCUUCCAGGAAAAGCCUCUAAGCAUCAGGUAACAUCAAAUCGUACCCCAAACCGACACAGGUGGUCAGGUAGAGAAUACCAAGGCGCUUGAGAGAACUCGGGUGAAGGAACUAGGCAAAAUGGUGCCGUAACUUCGGGAGAAGGCACGCUGAUAUGUAGGUGAAGCGACUUGCUCGUGGAGCUGAAAUCAGUCGAAGAUACCAGCUGGCUGCAACUGUUUAUUAAAAACACAGCACUGUGCAAACACGAAAGUGGACGUAUACGGUGUGACGCCUGCCCGGUGCCGGAAGGUUAAUUGAUGGGGUUAGCGGCAACGCGAAGCUCUUGAUCGAAGCCCCGGUAAACGGCGGCCGUAACUAUAACGGUCCUAAGGUAGCGAAAUUCCUUGUCGGGUAAGUUCCGACCUGCACGAAUGGCGUAAUGAUGGCCAGGCUGUCUCCACCCGAGACUCAGUGAAAUUGAACUCGCUGUGAAGAUGCAGUGUACCCGCGGCAAGACGGAAAGACCCCGUGAACCUUUACUAUAGCUUGACACUGAACAUUGAGCCUUGAUGUGUAGGAUAGGUGGGAGGCUUUGAAGUGUGGACGCCAGUCUGCAUGGAGCCGACCUUGAAAUACCACCCUUUAAUGUUUGAUGUUCUAACGUUGGCCCCUGAUCGGGGUUGCGGACAGUGUCUGGUGGGUAGUUUGACUGGGGCGGUCUCCUCCUAAAGAGUAACGGAGGAGCACGAAGGUUGGCUAAUCCUGGUCGGACAUCAGGAGGUUAGUGCAAUGGCAUAAGCCAGCUUGACUGCGAGCGUGACGGCGCGAGCAGGUGCGAAAGCAGGUCAUAGUGAUCCGGUGGUUCUGAAUGGAAGGGCCAUCGCUCAACGGAUAAAAGGUACUCCGGGGAUAACAGGCUGAUACCGCCCAAGAGUUCAUAUCGACGGCGGUGUUUGGCACCUCGAUGUCGGCUCAUCACAUCCUGGGGCUGAAGUAGGUCCCAAGGGUAUGGCUGUUCGCCAUUUAAAGUGGUACGCGAGCUGGGUUUAGAACGUCGUGAGACAGUUCGGUCCCUAUCUGCCGUGGGCGCUGGAGAACUGAGGGGGGCUGCUCCUAGUACGAGAGGACCGGAGUGGACGCAUCACUGGUGUUCGGGUUGUCAUGCCAAUGGCACUGCCCGGUAGCUAAAUGCGGAAGAGAUAAGUGCUGAAAGCAUCUAAGCACGAAACUUGCCCCGAGAUGAGUUCUCCCUGACUCCUUGAGAGUCCUGAAGGAACGUUGAAGACGACGACGUUGAUAGGCCGGGUGUGUAAGCGCAGCGAUGCGUUGAGCUAACCGGUACUAAUGAACCGUGAGGCUUAACCUUACAACGCCGAAG
rnacentral:rRNA from 1 species